GGAAGUAAAAGUUGUAACAAGGUUUCCGUAGGUGAACCUGCGGAAGGAUCAUUAAAGAAUUGCCCCGUCUUCUCGAAGAUGGGUUCUAUUCCAAACCGUGUUUACAUACCUUUGUUGCUUUGGCGGGCCGCCGCUUCGGCGUUGGCUCCGGCUGACUGCGCCCGCCAGAGAACCACAACUCUUUUGUUUAGUAAUGUCUGAGUACUAUAUAAUAGUUAAAACUUUCAACAACGGAUCCCUUGGUUCUG
rnacentral:misc_RNA from 1 species